GAUGAACGCUAGCUACAGGCUUAACACAUGCAAGUCGAGGGGAAACGCCAUUGAAGCUUGCUUCGAUGGUCGUCGACCGGCGCACGGGUGAGUAACGCGUAUCCAACCUGCCUCUGACCAAGGGAUAACCCGUCGAAACUCGUCCUAAUACCUUAUUCAUUCGUCGUAAGGCAUCUGAUGACGACGAAGGAUUUCAGCGGUGAGUGACGGGGCUGCGUCUGAUUAGCUUGUUGGCGGGUUAACGGCGCACCAAGGCAACGAUCAGUAGGGGUUCUGAGAGGAACGUCCCCGAGAUUGGAACUGGGAAACUGGCCACAGUGAUACGGGACGGAGCCGUGCGGGAUGUAGCAGUGUGGGAGAGUGCCUGAUCGAGCGAAGUCGCGUGCAGGAAGGCGGCGCUCGGGAUUGUAAACUGCUUGUAUGAGGCGAUAAAGUGAGGGAAGUGUGCGUGAUUGAAGGUAACGGAUGAAUAAGGACCGGCUAAUUACGUG
rnacentral:rRNA from 1 species